ACUAUUUUGGCAGAUUAGUGUCUUGAAUUUAGAAUUCAAUUAUGUAAUAAAUUACAAAUAGUA
rnacentral:tRNA from 1 species